UGAGGAGGACUGUCCACAUGGAGAGACCUGGAAUAUAGAGAAUAAUAUUCAGCUAAAUGUACCUCUGUUAAGUAUAUAGAAGGACACCAUGAGAAAGAAGCCGGCAGAGGACACACACACGCUGCAUGCGUAGAAGACAUACGUAUACUGUCCUGUGCUGUCCACCAACAUGCCUGAAAAUUACAAAAGGACAAUCAAAAGAUGAAUGGAUGUAAAACUUAUUACUUAAACGUAACUCCCUUAACCUCCCAUUCACAAAUACUAAUGAAGUUCACUAGGUUGGAAAUGUUUUGAUAUGCUGUGUGUGGGGGAAAUAGGUGGCCCAAUAAGAAGCGUUCCACUCUCCAACAUGCACAGAAGCCCGAGGGCUGAGGGGAAGCGGC